rnacentral:rRNA from 1 species
UCCGUAGGUGACCUGCGGAGGGAUCAUUACCGAGUUUACAACUCCCAAACCCCUGUGAACAUACCUAUACGUUGCCUCGGCGGAUCAGCCCGCGCCCCGUAAAACGGGACGGCCCGCCCGAGGACCCUAAACUCUGUUUUUAGUGGAACUUCUGAGUAAAACAAACAAAUAAAUCAAAACUUUCAACAACGGAUCUCUUGGUUCUGGCAUCGAUGAAGAACGCAGCAAAAUGCGAUAAGUAAUGUGAAUUGCAGAAUUCAGUGAAUCAUCGAAUCUUUGAACGCACAUUGCGCCCGCCAGUAUUCUGGCGGGCAUGCCUGUUCGAGCGUCAUUUCAACCCUCAAGCUCAGCUUGGUGUUGGGACUCGCGGUAACCCGCGUUCCCCAAAUCGAUUGGCGGUCACGUCGAGCUUCCAUAGCGUAGUAAUCAUACACCUCGUUACUGGUAAUCGUCGCGGCCACGCCGUAAAACCCCAACUUCUGAAUGUGACCUCGGAUCAGGUUGAAUACCC